rnacentral:lncRNA from 1 species
GCAGAGAGCAGGAGUCCCAGCCUGGUGGGGCUGCAUUAGAGUCAGGUCCCUGCAAUCCCACCAGGGAUUCCACGGGUGCUCUCCUGCUGUCCUCUAAUGCCCAGGAGCUCAUGGCGGGGUCUGCUUUACUUCUAAGGAGACUGAGGCAGAACUGCAAGCAUCUGCCCUAUUUGAUGCACAGAGAGAGUGCAACUUACUGGACUUAUUGCAGGAGUCGCAUCCAACAAGAGAGCGGAGUUGUCUUAUAGGAGGAUACUACGAUCAUCCCCGUCUUGCAGAAAAGGCAACUAAGGCUGAGAAGAGGCCAGGAGCCUUGACGAAAGGCACACAGGAAGAGCAGAGCUGGGACUCUAACCCUGAACGUUUGAGUAAAAUCUGUGAUGUUCUUCUGCUCCACAACCACCUCGUCUCACUCAUCUGACUUCCCUUGUGCUGAAUAUCCUGUUGGAAACAGAGGCCUCUUCAACGAUGAAAACUUGCUGCCCUUCUUAUGUUUGAAGAAACGUCUCCUGAAUAUUUGUAUUCAUGAUCCUACAAUCUUAUUUUCUGUAAUUUUUACAGCAACCAGUCAGGUCAUUGUCAUUAUACACCAUUUUAUAAUGAAGAAAUCAAAGCUCAGAGAGGUUGAGCACUUGCCUAAAGACACACAGCAAAAACACAGCAGAGCUGGCAUUCAAGUCUGGAUCUGGCUGUAAAGCCCAUGCAGGUCUGGCUUUGCAGACACGUGGCUUUCCAGGGUGUCUGAGGGACCGCUCUGGACUCACAUGGCUAGGAAGUGGUAAAGCAGAAACUGGGCCAGGACUUAGGAUGCCACAUCCAGUUUUCCUCCCCGCCAAUGCAGCAUGGCAGCCUGGAAGCCUGGUGGGCAGAAGGAAGGGAUGAGGGCUAGGACUGAACACAGGGUGUGAUUGCCUUGAGAGCCAGGGAUUGGCAAGCUGGGAGGUAUCCUCUAAGACUGUGUGUGUGUGUGUGCAUGUGUGUUUGUGUGUAAAAUACUAAGGCCUGAGCAUUGAUGUCCUCUUACUCCACCUCCACCCCACCCCGCUGUGGAUCAGAGUAAUUGUGAAGGGAGGGUGAGGGGCAGAGAAGCUGGAAAAAUUGCCUCAUUUAAUAUGGGAAAGGCUGCA